GCAUUGGUGGUUCAGUGAUAGAAUUCUCGCCUGACACGCGGGAGACCCGGGUCCGACUUCGGGCCAAUGCA
rfam:Danio rerio chromosome 4, GRCz11 reference primary assembly.